CCUAGGCACGGUGGCGCAUGCCUGUAAUCCCAGCAGCUCGGGAGGCUGAGGCAGGAGGAGCAUAAGUUCAAAGUCAGCCUCAGCAAUUUAGGGAGACCCUAAACAACUUAGUGAGUUCCUGUCUCAA
rnacentral:sRNA from 1 species